rnacentral:lncRNA from 1 species
GAAAAUCGAAGAACAAGUCCUAAUGGGGGAAAGUGGCGGAAAUUGAUUCCUAUUAGGUUUCUACUACUUCCUUAUCAAGAAAAGCCUAUAAAAGCAACAUGUCUCUACACCAUAAGCACGAAAUUUGACACCACAAAACACGAAGAACGAAGAUCAACGAAGACUCAAGCAUAGUUUUUCUUAUUUCUUUUAUUUUUAUUUUGUUUAUCAUAAGAAUUACGAGUAGCUAAGUUUUUAUUCUAGGAUUUUAUUGGAACCCUAUGUGGUAAUUCGAACCUAUUUUUCUACUUUUAUGCAAG